GAUGAACGCUGGCGGCGUGCCUAAUACAUGCAAGUCGAGCGAACAGAUGAGGAGCUUGCUCCUCUGACGUUAGCGGCGGACGGGUGAGUAACACGUGGAUAACCUACCUAUAAGACUGGGAUAACUUCGGGAAACCGGAGCUAAUACCGGAUAAUAUAUUGAACCGCAUGGUUCAAUAGUGAAAGACGGUUUUGCUGUCACUUAUAGAUGGAUCCGCGCCGCAUUAGCUAGUUGGUAAGGUAACGGCUUACCAAGGCAACGAUGCGUAGCCGACCUGAGAGGGUGAUCGGCCACACUGGAACUGAGACACGGUCCAGACUCCUACGGGAGGCAGCAGUAGGGAAUCUUCCGCAAUGGGCGAAAGCUUGACGGAGCAACGCCGCGUGAGUGAUGAAGGUCUUCGGAUCGUAAAACUCUGUUAUUAGGGAAGAACAAAUGUGUAAGUAACUAUGCACGUCUUGAUGGUACCUAAUCAGAAAGCCACGGCUAACUACGUG
rnacentral:rRNA from 1 species